rnacentral:snRNA from 1 species
GAAUGUGAGGGCAGUCUGGCUGCAACGUGUCACCCUGCUGAUCACCAGGGUUGCUUCGGCUGAUCCGGCUGGCUAGGCGGGUGUCCCCUUCCUCACCGCUCCAUGCCCUCCCGAAGCUGCGCGCUCAGCGGAAGAGGACUACCUUCCCCCCGCAGAGGAGGACUGUUCUUCAGUCAAGGGAACACGAGUGGCUGCAGUCCCCUGCUAGAACCUCCAAAUACUCGCUCAAGGUCCAUUGUAGGAGGACGUAGGGUGGUCAGGCUUCCAAGACUCCAGACGCGGCCAAACGAGGCACUGCAUGUGGCAGGCUGCCUUUCUUA